GACACAAGCCAUGCAUGCCCGCGCACCCGGGAGGCGGCGGACGGCUCAGGACAACGGUUGCACCCCCCGCGGCGGUCCCUGCUAGCCGGACACCGCUGGCAACCCGGCGCCAAGACGUGCGCGCAAGGGCGGGCGCCCGCGGGCGAGCAGCGUGACGCAGCGACGGCCCGCCCGGGCUUCCGGGGCAUCACCCGGUCGGCGCGGUCGCGGCGCGCCGAGGGCCCGACGCCUGGCGGAGAAUCAGGGUUCGACUCCGGAGAGCGGGCCUGAGAGACGGCCCGCACAUCCAAGGACGGCAGCAGGCGCGGAACUUGCCCAAUGCGCGCGCGCGAGGCAGCGACGGGGAGUGCGCGAGCGAGGCGGGCCCACAGCCCCCGCCGCGGAGCCGAGG
rnacentral:rRNA from 1 species